rnacentral:rRNA from 1 species
UACGGGGGGAGCAAGCGUUAUUCGGAAUCACUGGGCGUAAAGCGUGCGUAGGCUGUCUAGCAAGUUGGAAGUGAAAGCCCAGGGCUCAACCCUGGAAUUGCUUUCAAAACUGCAAGACUCGAGUCCGGGAGAGGAUAGCGGAAUUUCCAGUGUAGUAGUGAAUAACGUAGAUAUUGGAAGGAACACCAGUGGCGCAAGCGGCUAUCUGGACCGGCACUGACGCUGAGGCACGAAAGCGUGGGGAUCAAACAGG